AAUUUGCUUUCGUUUUGGUGAAUGUGCCGCGUUUUUCACGUUUUUUUUUUGUGAAAUUAAAUUUUGUGCGCGAUCUAUGUGAUUUUCAGGAUAUUUUGGGUUAAUUUUACAUCCGGAAACGAAACACCGGUUCCAGCUGCCGUUGCCGAUAGCACUGCAUCCGAAGGUCCGAGGCACGCCCGGAGGGUCCAGGCAACGGAUCGGGGUCCGGUAUUCCAAAAUAUGAAGGGCCAGUUCACCUGCAAUUUUGACCUUUUCCAACCGGGCGCAACAGAGCUGCAAAAUCUGAUCAACAUGCUAAGUAUUUGGAUCAAGAUUCUGGAAAACAAAACCGAGCAACUGCCCAAUAUUUCCUAUUAAUCAUGGUUAGCUAGCUUUAACUUGAUUAUCUAACCAUGGUAAACAUUUCUACUUUGUCACCCGCCACAUCUCGUCGUUGGAAACGAUGAAUUAGUACGAAAAGUGUCCGGUCACAUGAUAGUUAUUGUUAUGUACAUUUUUUUUAUUUCAGAAUAAAUAGUACUGCAUGGGAGGGGGUGGGUGG